UACAGAGGGUGCGAGCGUUAAUCGGAAUUACUGGGCGUAAAGCGCGCGUAGACGGUUUUGUAAGUCAGAUGUGAAAUCCCUGGGCUCAACCUGGGAACUGCAUUUGAGACUGCAUGGCUAGAGUAUGGAAGAGGGAAGUGGAAUUUCCGGUGUAGCGGUGAAAUGCGUAGAUAUCGUAAGGAAGACCAGUGGCGAAGGCGGGUCUCUGGACAGUUCCUGACGCUGAGGCACGAAGGCCAGGGGAGCAAACGGG
rnacentral:rRNA from 1 species